AACGUGUCAGCAGCCGCGGUAAUACGUAGGUGGCGAGCGUUGUCCGGAAUUACUGGGCGUAAAGGGCGUGUAGGCGGCCUUUUAAGUCAGACGUGAAAUCUCUGGGCUUAACCCAGAAAUUGCGUUUGAAACUGGAGGGCUUGAGGAUCGGAGAGGGCAGUGGAAUUCCCAGUGUAGCGGUGAAAUGCGUAGAUAUUGGGAGGAACACCAGUGGCGAAGGCGACUGCCUGGACGACACCUGACGCUGAGGCGUGAAAGCUAGGGGAGCAAACGGGAUUAGAUACCCCGGUAGUCCUAGCCGUAAACGAUGGGUACUAGGUGUGGGAGGUAUCGACCCCUUCCGUGCCGCAGUUAACACAAUAAGUACCCCGCCUGGGGAGUACGGCCGCAAGGUUGAAACUCAAAUGAAUUGGCGGACU
rnacentral:rRNA from 1 species